GACGAACGCUGGCGGCGUGCUUAACACAUGCCAGUCGAACGGUGAAGGGGUCUGCUUUUGUGGGCCCUGGAUGAGUGGCGAACGGGUGAGUAACACGUGAGUAACCUGCCCCCUUCUUCUGGAUAACCGCAUGAAAGUGUGGCUAAUACGGGAUAUUCUGGGUCUGUCGCAUGAUGGGUCUGGGAAAGAUUGCGCCUUUGGGUGUUUUUGGUGGGGGAUGGGCUCGCGGCCUAUCAGCUUGGUGGUGGGGUGAUGGCCUACCAAGGCGGUGACGGGUAGCCGGCCUGAGAGGGUGGACGGUCACACUGGGACUGAGACACGGCCCAGACUCCUACGGGAGGCAGCAGUGGGGAAUAUUGCACAAUGGGCGCAAGCCUGAUGCAGCGACGCCGCGUGAGGGAUGGAGGCCUUCGGGGUGUAAACCUCUUUCGCCAGUGAAGCAGGCCUGCUCCUUGUGGGUGGGUUGACGGUAGCUGGAUAAGAAGCGCCGGCUAACUACGUG
rnacentral:rRNA from 1 species